UUUUAUGGUCGGGCGUGAUGGGAGAGCUUUGCUCUGCCGGUCCUCUAGCCGGUCUGUCAACCCGUCAUCGCCUGGCCACCAAA
rnacentral:antisense_RNA from 1 species